UACGAAGGGUGCAAACGUUGCUCGGAAUUAUUGGGCGUAAAGCGCACGUAGGCGGCUUGGCAAGUCGGAUGUGAAAUCCCUCGGCUCAACCAAGGAAGUGCAUCCGAAACUGCUGAGCUUGAGUUCUUAAGAGGAUCGCGGAAUUCCCGGUGUAGAGGUGAAAUGCGUAGAUAUCUGGAGGAACACCGGUGGCGAAGGCGGCAUCCUGGACCACGACUGACGCUGAGUGAGCGAAAGCCAGGGGAGCAAACGGG
rnacentral:rRNA from 1 species